GUGCCAGCAGCCGCGGUAAUACGGAGGAUGCAAGCGUUAUCCGGAUUUAUUGGGUUUAAAGGGUGCGCAGGCGGAUUGGUAAGUCAGUGGUGAAAUCCUACAGCUCAACUGUAGAACUGCCAUUGAUACUAUCAGUCUUGAGUACAUUUGAAGUGGGCGGAAUGUGUCAUGUAGCGGUGAAAUGCUUAGAGAUGACACAGAACACCGAUAGCGAAGGCAGCUCACUAAACUGUUACUGACGCUGAGGCACGAAAGCGUGGGGAUCAAACAGGAUUAGAUACCCUGGUAGUCCACGCUGUAAACGAUGAUUACUCGAUGUGUGCGAUACACAGUACGCGUCUAAGGGAAACCGAUAAGUAAUCCACCUGGGGAGUACGUUCGCAAGAAUGAAACUCAAAGGAAUUGACGGGGGCCCGCACAAGCGGAGGAGCAUGUGGUUUAAUUCGAUGAUACGCGAGGAACCUUACCUAGGCUUAAAUGACAGUUGACGGUUGCGGAAACGUAACUUCUCCACA
rnacentral:rRNA from 1 species